rnacentral:rRNA from 1 species
UGCCCUACGGGGCGCAGCAGUGGGGAAUAUUGGACAAUGGGGGGAACCCUGAUCCAGCGACGCCGCGUGAGCGAUGAAGUAUUUCGGUAUGUAAAGCUCUAUCAGCAGGGAAGAAAAUGACGGUACCUGACUAAGAAGCACCGGCUAACUACGUGCCAGCAGCCGCGGUAAUACGUAGGGGGCAAGCGUUAUCCGGAUUUACUGGGUGUAAAGGGAGCGUAGACGGCUGUGCAAGUCUGAAGUGAAAGGCAAGGGCUCAACCUUUGGACUGCUUUGGAAACUGUGCAGCUAGAGUGUCGGAGAGG